UAAAAUAAAUGAAUGAACACUGUCAUUCAUAAUUAAAAUGAAAAAGCAGCUUCGCCAUGGCGAAGAAAAAAUUUAUUUAUUUUAUGGUAUAAAAAAUCAAGUGUAUAUCGUGCUCGCGACCCAGGUGGCUUUUACAGUGAUGUCGCGAAAAUUCCGUGCCAAGGCCAUGCAAAAUUACGCGUGUGUGUGUGUGCGUAAAUGUAAAACAAUUAAAUGAAUGAAAAUGUUCAAAUGUCCAUUAAAUAAUAAAUCGGUUGAAACAAAAGAACAUGAAGUACUUUUAUGGUUCCAUAUUUUUCAACUCGUCUGACCCAAAAGGUAUCAUAGGUGUGUGAAGUGAAGGUAUCAGCCACUGAUUUGAUAAAACCCGCCAGGUUAAAAAAACAGCCUCCGACCCCUACAUGACACCGGCAUGUUGUUUAAAUUGGACAAAUUCCCAAAAAAUUUAAAAAAAAUCUAUACAUAUGUUCGACUUCGCUAUAAAUAAAACUUAUUCUUUCAUGCCAGUAUGUGUUUGUGAACCCCAUUUGGGAUUAUAAUUGCCAUAAAAAAAAUCAUAUAUAUUCCGCAACAUUACUUGCGAACACUGUACAUGCAGACAGUUAAAAUUUAACCAACGAUGUGAUGGUUCAAAGACGUAUAUGUCCGGUAAUGGUGUGUGAAAAGGACGCCAAAGUUUUAAAACUUUUAAACUUACGUAGGCGGCUGUGGCUAUGUGUCAACAUGUGUGCGUAGUGUAAUAUUAUGGUAUUGCGGUACUCCUACCCACUCAAGCUAUGAAUGGAGGUGGGGGUAUUAAAACCAAACUCUGUGUCCAAAGAAAAACAGUACUUUCUAAAAAAUGAUGUGAAGACAGAAGCCGAAAAAAAUGUUGCCCAAUUAUCUGCGUUUCCAUGAGUGUGAAGCUUUCAAGGAAGAAAACUACUGGACGACCAAGCCGUACAUCUCGUCUCAAAUAAUGGAGCACCCGCUCUUGGAGAACGCUGCCGAUCUUCAGCGGAGAAUGAAUAUGCGAGGUACCAGCAAAAGACUCCUGUCAGCCCUUUACGACCAAUAAGCAUCCGACCUUAGACGCCUGUAAGUUCACCUAAAGUAAGGCUAUCUCCAAAGGAUCCAGAACGCGUUUUGACUAACCGCCAUAACAUGGUCGCAUCAAAAAGAGGAAAACGAAGAAACUACACAGAGAGGAAAACGGUUUGUGGGUGCUUCUAAUGAACUCUACUGAAACGGAAUACCUCACGUAGACUUUGACCGAAGACAUGCCCGGUGGACACUAGGGCGGUCUGAGACCGGUGUCUAGGAGCACAACGAUCCCUUCUGUCGGACUACGGUGAGAUAUUCUUGGUCUAUUGCUGUUUUAACUAAUGGAUGGUUUGGUAAACUAACCCUAAAUUAAAGCUAUUAGUUACGUAGUACACUACUAUCUAAACUAAGACUAUAAAUUAGGGCCGCCUAACGAAAAGGUAUGCUAGCUAGGAGUCCUCCGUUCAAAUACCAAGGAGCUUGACGGCUGUGAAACUUUGUCGGGUCCGGAAACUCCUGGUCUCUCGCAUGAAAACCUCCUAGCCAACACUUAUCUAUUUCCUCUAAAAGCAAACUAUUGCAGCAGAUAUUGGACUUUACAUUAAGAUCAAGGAAAAAGUAAUCAAUAUAUCAACACAAAAUUUCACAGGAAUCAUUUAAUUUUACUACGAACAUUAAAAUUAGCAAAGAAUUACAUUCGAUCUCAGUCGAAUCUAAUGGCCUAUAGGUCUUCUUCUUUUGGGGCUCCUGCCGCCGAGUAAGUUAAGCUGUGCCCACAGUGACAGCUUACUCCGUCUGUCCGGCUAUGUCCGUCCGAAUAUUAUAAAGUUCAAGGCCUUUACCACGCCCAAAAGGACGGCAUCUUCAGGGUACUGUUUUGGAACAAAAAUCCCUAUGGAGACUCCCUACCUGCCUAGAGAGAGCUCUAUCUAUUUGGGAAGGGUAAAUACCAUAUAAUAAUGUCGAUGGUAUAAUCAAAGAUAAGUAUCCUUAAAGAAAAAUGCCUGCCUAUUCCAAAAACUAAUUUCCUUUUUCUCUUUUACUUUUAGAUAAUCUGUACGUCCGUCUGUCCAAAUGUUUAGUUUUAAGUUAAGGGUCUAUGUAAGCCGUCACCUGGAGCACUGCGGUCUGCGAGUACUGUCUGAAGGAGGUCCCACGCUGGUGCAGAGGAGAUGAGCCGUUGGUGUGCAGCGUUUUAUUUACUUUUAAUUAAAAUUUUCGUUUAGUUCAAGCUUUAGCCAGUAAUUUAGUUUUUUGUUCAGGAAAAUAUUCUGACUUGGUUUUCUUUUUUUUUGGAAUUCAGUUCAUUUUUUUUUAUUCAUAAGUUAAAAACAGUGCCUACUCAAUUUUAGGCUUUUAGAGGCUCCACCCCACUAUAGGAUAAUUCUUCUAUAUCUUCAUACACUUGCUAUGCAGUUCUUAUAGCAACACAAAACAACAACACUACACGCCGUUGGCUGCACUUCUAUUUUUUUCUCUGCUUGUUAGGCUCACUUUUAGUUGUCCUCUCGGCUCACCUCCGACUUGCUGCACGUCUCAAAAGGAAAAGAAAGAUUUUCUUUCCUAGGCUAGUGGCCAAUGUUGUAAUUUUUCCCACCUUGGCGCUCUUCCCAGCCAGAACUUCCUCUGAUGGGCCAAAUGACAACACAACACCAACUGUCCUGCUGUCAAUCAGGCAGGGUUCGUGGUUCAUGCCCAAGCAGCUGAUUAUGUUCGGCAAUUGCCCGCUAGGUUUCGCUUUGGGGACAAUAAGAUGCACGCGACAAAAUUGGCCCACAUUUGUCCUCCUCGUGAACCGGCACAUUGUUAAUAGCCCCCCCGAUAUCAAUGCAUACCGCCAGGGUGUACGUUUUGGCAUCGAAAGAUUCUUUUUUUUUAUGCACAACCUCGUGCAGGGCAGUCUCCACCGACCUCCACUUGACAUAGGCAUGCUCUUUGUAUUUGAGCAGUUGGCGACGUCAUUAACGCUAUCGACAUGUUCGCAGAAAAGCUUCCAGGAGGCACGUUUUGCCGCUCUGUAAUACGCAUCCCAAUAAACUUCCGCUUUUUUACGACGUGCUCUGUAACAAAGUCUGCGGACCUCUUUCCCAAUAUUGUGAAUCUCCACGGUCAUCCAGGGUUUUUCUUGGGUUGAUUUCCUUUCUCGAAGAGGACAACUAUCUUCGAAGGAUCCCACCAGUGCAGUCGUAAUCCUGUUGACAUUUUCGCCAAUGUCUUUUAUGCUUGGACAAUCUAAAUUAUCUUGCCCAAGUCUUCUUCUGAGUAGUCUUCAGAAUUUUGUCCAGUUGGUUUUCAACUAAUUCCGGAAGCUUAUCGGAUUCGGCGCUGGCCAUGCUAUUUUAUACCUAAUGUAGCGAUGGUCAGAAAAAGAGUGUUCCAUGGAGACCUCCUAAUCCUGAACCUCAUCGAUUAGAGUUCGCAUCGCACCCUAUUAGUACCUCAUUUCCUGUCUCUUUUGCUUUCCUCACCAACUAUUGCAGUUUCGACUUAGGUGGCGGUGUCGGAGAGUUGAAAGGCUGAUAACGUAAUGCCAGGUAUGCUCCACCUCCCUGUCUCACCACUGUGGUAUACUACGUUGACGACUCUGGGGAAAAUAUACAAUUCAUAUUUUUAUGACAAAUAACGCAGGUCCUCGGCUGAGUACCAGUGUUAGCAUAGAAUAAUUGGUAGUUGAUAUGGUUCAUUCCAGAAACGUUGUUACGGGUUGUCCAUGGCUCCUGAAUCAAGGCAAUAUGAAUCUUGCUCUUACUGAUUUUUCUAUAAGAGCGUGUUUGGGAGUCUUGCUCCGGUGGAGAUUUAUCUGGAUUACCUCAACCAUUGGUCCUCUAGUAAAUGGCCAUCUUAGAAGUUAGUUACACUGCAUUGACCCAAAAUCCACUGAUCCAAAUCGGACACCUUUCGCUGCGCUGUCUAAUGUUUCAAUAUUAGGAUCUUACCUAUCCCAGUGUUCUGAAUCUUGAAGUCCCUGUUUGUUAUGCUGUGUUGGGUCUCUCGCCACUGCAGUGCCUGAUAUUUUAAUAUUAGGAUCUUUGCUUAGCCUGUUCUUUCCAAUAUUGAGAGAGCUCAUGAUUGUCUCGUUGUCAACCACUGUUCGUUGGGCAGUAUUGAGUCACCUGCCACUGCACGGCCUGACGUCUCAAAAUUCCCAUGCCAUUAGUCUUAGUCAAAAUCAUUAUGAAGAUUUGAUCAAUGCCAACCACGAGGAGAGUUCCUUCCUCCUUCCUGGAAAAUUUAGCACUUCUCUGCGACCAAAAAUUGGUUUUGCUUGCCCAAGAAUCCCAACAUGC